GAAGCGGAGAGGGCCGAACGAAGCCACGUGCUACUCACGAGGAAAAUUAUUGUUCUCUUUUGAUCCUGCCUUCGCCGAACUUGGACUGAUUCUCCCGCAGAUUUUAAAUUAAUAUUUCUAUUUCUCCAUUUUAAAGUGUGUGCACCUGCGACUUUCGACUUUUUCUGAAGGAGUUUGGACACCGAUUCUUUUUUUGGAUAAAAAUAUUAUUACAAAUGGGAGAAGCAAAGGAGGACCUACAGGGGAAAACAUAAGAAAAUGCAAGGAUUCUCUAAACUGCAACCCAUUCUCAAGAAGAGGAAAUUCAGUUAAACUCUCUUGAUGGUCGUUUACAAAAUACGAAGAUAUUUUUUCUCUACAGUCAUCAUGUGGGGAACAUCGAGAAAUCUUGAAAAUCUCACUUAGUGCACAACUUUCAUUAUAUUGUAAAUAUUUUUCGUCGAGUGCAACGAAUAAUUUUUGUAUUUUUCGUGAUACAGAAAAAAUUGUAAUUUGAAUUAUUUAGCAAGGGAAUUUAAAAGAAAAAAAAUGUAAUUAUAUUAGCUAGGAAAUUAGAAAAUUAAGUUUUAGUUUUAGGCAAGAAAAAGUAAUUUUUAUUCAGAAGAAAAAUCAAUAAGCAAAAACUUUAUAGCAACAUUCACUAAAGAAGAGGGGUAAGUGAAACAUAUACAAUAUUUUUAAUUUCCUUUAAACCUACAUCCAGAAAA